UUUGAUUCGUACAGUUGGAUUGUACAUCACUUUUAGUGUACAAAUGUAAAGUGUACGCUGUGUAUUUUUUAUAUAUAUCUGUACACUAAAAGUGGUGUACAAUCUAAGUGUACGAAUCAAA
rfam:Arabidopsis thaliana chromosome 3, complete sequence.